CCUACGGGCGGCAGCAGUGGGGGAUAUUGCACAAUGGGGGGAACCCUGAUGCAGCGACGCCGCGUGGGUGAAGGAGCGUUUCGGCGCGUAAAGCCCUAUCGGCAGGGCAGAAGGAGGACGGUACCUGACUAAGAAGCCCCGGCUAACUACGUGCCAGCAUCCUCUUUAAUACUUAUUUUUCAAGCUUUAUCCGGAUUUACUGUGUGUAAAGGGGGCGAAGACGGCAGAGCAAGCAAGGAGUGAAAGCCCGGGGCCCAACCCCGGGAAGGCUCUUGGAACUGCGAGGCUGGAGUGAAGGAGGGGAAGGAGGAAUUAAUGGUGUAGAGGUGAAAUGAGUAGAGAGAAGGAGGAAAAAAGGUGGAGAAGGAGGAAUGAUGGAAUGAGAAGGAAGUUGAGGAAAGAAAGAGUGGGGAGAAAAAAGGAUUAGAUAAAAAAGUAGGC
rnacentral:rRNA from 1 species